rnacentral:rRNA from 1 species
AGGAAUAUUGGUCAAUGGACGAGAGUCUGAACCAGCCAAGUAGCGUGAAGGAUGACUGCCCUAUGGGUUGUAAACUUCUUUUAUACGGGAAUAAAGUGAGGCACGUGUGCCUUUUUGUAUGUACCGUAUGAAUAAGGAUCGGCUAACUCCGUGCCAGCAGCCGCGGUAAUACGGAGGAUCCGAGCGUUAUCCGGAUUUAUUGGGUUUAAAGGGAGCGUAGGCGGACGCUUAAGUCAGUUGUGAAAGUUUGCGGCUCAACCGUAAAAUUGCAGUUGAUACUGGGUGUCUUGAGUACAGUAGAGGCAGGCGGAAUUCGUGGUGUAGCGGUGAAAUGCUUAGAUAUCACGAAGAACUCCGAUUGCGAAGGCAGCUUGCUGGACUGUAACUGACGCUGAGGCUCGAAAGUGUGGGUAUCAAACAGGAUUAGAUACCCUGGUAGUCCACACGGUAAACGAUGGAUACUCGCUGUUGGCGAUAGACUGUCAGCGGCUUAGCGAAAGCGUUAAGUAUCCCACCUGGGGAGUACGCCGGCAACGGUGAAACUCAAAGGAAUUGACGGGGGCCCGCACAAGCGGAGGAACAUGUGGUUUAAUUCGAUGAUACGCGAGGAACCUUACCCGGGCUUGAAUUGCAGACGAAUUGCUUGGAAACAGGCAAGCCGCAAGGCGUCUGUGAAGGUGCUGCAUGGUUGUCGUCAGCUCGUGCCGUGAGGUGUCGGCUUAAGUGCCAUAACGAGCGCAACCCUCGUGUCCAGUUACUAGCAGGUUAUGCUGAGGACUCUGGACAGACUGCCAUCGUAAGAUGUGAGGAAGGUGGGGAUGACGUCAAAUCAGCACGGCCCUUACGUCCGGGGCUACACACGUGUUACAAUGGGGGGUACAGCAGGCAGCUACCGGGCGACCGGAUGCCAAUCCCGAAAGCCUCUCUCAGUUCGGACUGGAGUCUGCAACCCGACUCCACGAAGCUGGAUUCGCUAGUAAUCGCGCAUCAGCCACGGCGCGGUGAAUACGUUCCCG